GCGGGCGUAACUCAGCUGGUAGAGUGCAAGCUUCCCAAGCUUGGAGUCGCGGGUUCGAAUCCCGUCACCCGCU
rnacentral:tRNA from 1 species